UACAGAGGGUGCAAGCGUUAAUCGGAAUUACUGGGCGUAAAGCGUGCGCAGGCGGUUGUGUAAGACAGGUGUGAAAUCCCCGGGCUUAACCUGGGAACUGCAUUUGUGACUGCACGGCUAGAGUGUGUCAGAGGGGGGUGGAAUUCCACGUGUAGCAGUGAAAUGCGUAGAUAUGUGGAGGAACACCAAUGGCGAAGGCAGCCCCCUGGGAUAACACUGACGCUCAUGCACGAAAGCGUGGGGAGCAAACAGG
rnacentral:rRNA from 1 species